AUACAGAGGGUGCAAGCGUUAAUCGGAAUUACUGGGCGUAAAGCGUGCGCAGGCGGUUUUGUAAGACAGAGGUGAAAUCCCCGGGCUCAACCUGGGAACUGCCUUUGUGACUGCAAGGCUAGAGUACGGCAGAGGGGGAUGGAAUUCCGCGUGUAGCAGUGAAAUGCGUAGAUAUGCGGAGGAACAACGAUGGCGAAGGCAAUCCCCUGGGCCUGUACUGACGCUCAUGCACGAAAGCGUGGGGAGCAAACAGGAUUAGAUACCCUGGUAGUCCACGCCCUAAACGAUGUCAACUGGUUGUUGGGUCUUCAUUGACUCAGUAACGAAGCUAACGCGUGAAGUUGACCGCCUGGGGAGUACGGCCGCAAGGUUGAAACUCAAAUGAAUUGACGGGG
rnacentral:rRNA from 1 species